UCGUUGUCUCGCCCGCGCCUCCACAUCUGUGGCCGUGCUUUUCUACGUGGCGCGGACGGCUCAAGCGCUAAAAAAGGAACGAGAACUGCGCAGGACGAGAAGAAGAGGUUUUACCACGAGGAAGACGCACCGCGUUGUGGCGGGAGACAGGGGCGCCUGUCCCGUGCCUGUCUCUCUGCGCGUCUGUCACACCCUCCGUUCGUCUGUGGCUCUUGCACAGUUGUGGUCGUUCUGUCGUCAUUGGUGGUGCGCAGCGGAGUUUGUGCGGUGCUGGUGCGGAAGAGGAAGCGUGUGCGUGUGGGCGUGCCGGUCUCUCCGCGCCUGAGAGCUGGAGGGCGAGGGUGCGAGUCGCGCGGGGAAGGCCAGCACACCGACACCCUCAUAUACACGCCUCCGUAUGCGACAGUGCUCUCAUCAAUCAUCCGCACCCCCUCCCCCUUCCUCCCUUCCCUUACCUACGCACGGGCAUCCGCAUCUCUGUUGUCGCACCGCGGCGUUGCUCCCCUCAUCGCCAG
rnacentral:misc_RNA from 1 species